rnacentral:lncRNA from 1 species
GAUCCGUCGUCCCAUGCCCUCUAGCUCCUCAGAGACAGACCACGCCACAGAAGCCGCUAAAAUGGUGUUUUCGAGAUGUUUUAAGAGGGGCAGGUAGACACUUGAUGACAAUCAACGCAAAGGCACAAGGUCACUGUCAAGAUAAAGGAGAAAUGGCAUGUGUACUCCA